GUUCUGGCCCCUGGCCUCUGGUGUGUAGGAGGCCAAGGAGACGGUUGCUGUGGGGCCUGAGGCUGGCCUUGGAGAGAAAACUGGAAAUGUGCUUCUUGUCUGAGCCAUGUGGUACAGAUGCUCACAUGGAGACGCAGCUGGAAUUGAACAUCACUUGGCAGCCAGUGUGAGGAACAUGCUCGAUGGAGAUGAUAAAGGAUGCAAAGGAGUCCUGAGAGCUAGGAUCUACACCUUGGUGGGGUCCAAAGAACAUGGAAUGGACAGCUUGGGGGUGCUCCCAGAGGAAGCAGUGAACCUGGAUCCUAUGGAGGGAUGGGCGCAGGCUCUGGACACAUGGCCUGGACUUGAAGCAAGUGGCAAGUAGAGGAGCAUUCAAGGUUAAGAUGACUGUACCCAUGCAGGGUGUUGCCUGGGAUCCAAAUCCCUGAGGGCCCUGGCUGUCUGUCAUAAGCCACACUAAAUGAGAGGCUUCCUAGACCCUUGCUUUUGAUUUACGUGCCAUGGAGUCUCCUGCCCAAGCCGUGUUCAGCAGCUGCAGGGUGACAGCUGACUGAGUCCUGCUGCAUCUUCCCUUUUAAAGGGCCUCCACAGUGCCCUCUAAACUAGUGUUUGGCUAAACACUAAGUGAGCAUGGAGGACCCAGGAAAGCAACCCUCCUGCUUUCUGCUGCAGACUGGUGCUGGUCUACUCUGAAUUCAUUUUGAACCUAACCCCCAAAAGGACUGUGUCAGGAGGUUUACUUCAGAACUAAUCAGGUCCUUGGACUCUGCCCCUAUAGUAGGCCUGGAGGAAGGAAGACCACCCAGCAGAAGGCCUGGAGGGAUUCAGACCACCCUAUAGAAGGCCUGCAGGGCCGCAGACCACCCUGCAGAAGAUCUGGAGUAUGCGGACCACCUUCCUGACUGUUUUCUUGUGUGAAGACCCAGUGAGAUCAAACCCUCUGGAGCAACCCAGUUGACCAGACACCAGGUCAGCUGAGGCUCAAUUGUGAGCUAACCAGGCUAGAGUAAAAAAUAAAAAUAAAAAAAAUUAUGGGAUAGAAAGAUGGUUCAGUGGUUAAGAGCUUAUACUGCUCUUCCUGAGGAUAUGAAUUCAGUUUCCAAGAUCUGUAUCAGGUGCCUAUAACCCCAGCUCCAGGGGGAUCUGACACAUCUGCCCUUUGUGGGCAUUUGCAUUCAUGUGCAUAAUACCACACAGACACACAUGCACAUAAUUAGAAUAAUAAAAAUAAACCUAAAAAUCUUA